rnacentral:rRNA from 1 species
UGGGGAAUUUUGCACAAUGGGGGAAACCCUGAUGCAGCGACGCCGCGUGAUUUAGAAGGCCUUCGGGUUGUAAAAAUCUUUUUUACGGGAUGAAAAUGACAGUACCGUAAGAAUAAGGUCCGGCUAAAUACGUGCCAGCAGCCGCGGUAAUACGUAUGGACCGAGCGUUGUCUGGAAUCAUUGGGCGUAAAGGUACGUAGGCGGCCUAGUAAGUUAGAAGUGAAAGAAUAUAGCUCAACUAUAUAAAGCUUUUAAAACUGUUAGGCUUGAGAGAUGAAAGGGAAAGUGGAAUUCCUAGUGUAGCGGUGAAAUGCGCAGAUAUUAGGAAGAAUACCGGUGGCGAAGGCGACUUUCUGGUCAUCAUCUGACGCUGAGGUACGAAAGCGUGGGUAGCAAACAGG